CUUUUUUUUUUUUUUUUUUUUUUUUUUUUUAAGAUUUUCAUUUAUUUAUUUAGACAGAGAGUGAGAGAGCACAAGCAGUGGCAGAGGGACAAGCAGACUCCCACUGAGCAGGGAGCUGGAACAUGGGACUUGAUCCCAGGACCCUGGGUCAUGACCUGAGCUGAAGGCAGAUGCCCAACUGACUGAGCCACCCAGGCACACCUAGAAUUCUGAAUGUCACCACAGAAAGGCCUAACUGGAGGGAAUUUGUGUUUUAUAUACAUUGAUUCCCAAGAUGCAAGUCUGUACAUAUGUAGCAGUACAUGUGGGGAACUACUAGUAGUUGGCUUUCUGGGGAUAGUCUCUUGAGGGCUCUGACCAAGCCAAGUAGAAGGGCUGGGGUCACAGCUUAGGUGAGGAUGUUGAAAAAAAUUUUAAAGAUUUUAUUUAUUUAUUCAUGAAACACACACAGAGAGGCAGAGAUUAGACCUCUAAGGAGGAGGCACAGCUUUGCUGGGAACUGUCUUAGCUCUGAGUAGGGGUGCUGUGGGCUUGAGAACCAGACCCCCAGGAAGGAGAAAACAGCUGGGAUGAGGCUAGUAGCACAAACAAAACUGCAAACUGCAUCUAAAUGCUGCUGCUGGGGCAGAAGCGUUGCCAAUGUGUUGCUCAGAGGGCUUGUGAACAGACGGGAAGGAUUCUCUUCUCCUUCCUCCAGCCUCCCAGCCCUGAUCUACAGAACAGAGCCUAACUGGGAGACUGCUGGCCAAGCAGAAAUGUGGCUUGCAGAGUCCCAGUCCCAGGGCCACAAAGCCGAGCACAGAAGAUGGGUUUGGAGCUGAGAAGCUGUGUAUAUAGCUUAGUAAUUGGCAUACACCUCGAUGGUGUCUAAAUUCAGAUAGUUUCAAGUUGUAUCAGUCAGCCUCAUAAGUAAGGUCUACAGAUUUCAAUUACUUAAAGGGACAGUCUGGUGACUAAAGGAAGAAUGAUUUAUUGCAGCAUGACAUUUGAAUUGUUCCAGGGGGACGAGGCAGAUAAAACAUCAUCAGGCUGGUGUUAGGAAGUGAAUCUGGAAGGAUGAAAAGGAGUUCCUUGGGCAGGGGAAGAACCCAUGGAAGAACUAACCACUAAGCAGUGUAAGAAGGGUGUUCCAGUCAGAAGGAACCCAUGUGCAAAGGCCAAAAAGAGGGCCUGAACCCUUAGGUAGGCUGAGUUGCAAGAAAACCCCUAGGGCAAAGCUACGCAAGUCCUUGGGCUUCCCUGGGAUGAGGCAGGAGUUGGGGCAUGGGUGACUGAGGAGAACAGAAUACUCCCUCAGGA
rnacentral:lncRNA from 1 species